rnacentral:rRNA from 1 species
GUAGGGAAUCUUCCGCAAUGGACGAAAGUCUGACGGAGCACGCCGCGUGAGUGAUGAAGGCUUUCGGGUCGUGAAAACUCUGUGUGUUAGGGAAGAACAAGUGCUAGUUGAAUAAGCUGGCACCUUGACGGUACCUAACCAGAAAGCCACGGCUAACUACGUGCCAGCAGCCGCGGUAAUACGUAGGUGGCAAGCGUUAUCCGGAAUUAUUGGGCGUAAAGCGCGCGCAGGUGGUUUCUUAAGUCUGAUGUGAAAGCCCACGGCUCAACCGUGGAGGGUCAUUGGAAACUGGGAGACUUGAGUGCAGAAGAGGAAAGUGGAAUUCCAUGUGUAGCGGUGAAAUGCGUAGAGAUAUGGAGGAACACCAGUGGCGAAGGCGACUUUCUGGUCUGUAACUGACACUGAGGCGCGAAAGCGUGGGGAGCAAACAGGAUUAGAUACCCUGGUAGUCCACGCCGUAAACGAUGAGUGCUAAGUGUUAGAGGGUUUCCGCCCUUUAGUGCUGAA